CUGGGUCGGGGGAAAAGCCUUGAAGGGAGAGAGGAAGAAAGGCUUGGGGGCGAUGGGGAGAACCGGGUUGAGAAUGAGAUGAGGAGGAUUAAGGGGAGAAAGGGUUAGAAGCCAGGGAGAGCAGGAGUGAGAAAAAGCCAGCCCAGGAGGUAGGAAGGAGGCAAAAGCCAGGGUGGGCGUUAAGGAAGCCGGGCAAGGAAUGAGAUUAGGGCUGGGAAAAGGGAUCCUGGGAUUAGGUGUAAGAGCGGGGGUUUGAAGGGGAAAGCUUCGUAGGGGGUGGUGUUGGGGUGAGAGAUACCGGGGUAGGAGUUGGAAGUGGAAGACAAGGAGGGGCAGAGCUGGGGUAAUAGUUGGGAGUAGGGAAGAGAGAGUGAUUAAGAGCCAGACGUGACAAGGGUGUGAACUAGUGCGGAGCGAGAUGAGCUGAAGGACUAGGACCAGCGGUGUGGUCGGAACUGCUGCUGAGGUUCUGAGAAAGGAAUGGGUUAGUGGGUGGGCAAUGGGUGUAAAUUCUGUAAAGUGAGGGAGGGCAAAUGAGACCUGGACUGGAACCAGGUGGAGUCAGGAAUAAGAGUGGUGGGAGGGCGAAAGGAAACAGAUAAGAGAUGGGCGUCUGUGGAACAAUUCUAGGACCAGAGGAGCUGAAAGGAGACUAGAGUUAGGGUGUAAGAAGUGAUGGCCGUCUGGGACAAGAAUAACUGGGGAAUUACGUUAAUUGAAGAGGUUCAGCAAGAUCCAAGGUGAAAGCAGUGAGGUGAAGAGACAGGGCUAAAAGCAGACGGUGAGAGGAGCAGGAAGAGAUGGGUCCCAGGAUUUAAAGGAUGUGAUGGGGAGUAAGGGAAGAGAAGGGGGCUAAGGGAAGCUGGGGGAGUCCUGAUGGAUGUAGAACGGGGGUAGACUGCACAGGGGUGGGAAUUGAAUGUGAGUAUGUGAGUGUUGUAGGUAGUUGCUCCGGAAGGUCUGCAAGGGUCAGGGCACAAAUGUUGUAGUGAAAGAUCAAGUGUAAGAGAACCUUUGGUGCAGAAGAGGAGGAACCAUGAUUCUUUGGAUGGGAAGAGACCUUGAAAGGACCUCUAGUUUAUCCUGCAACUCCAGUCAAUAUCCCACUUACAUCAUCCCAGGUAGAUAAAAAUUGAUCCUGUUUUUUAAAAUAAAUCUUCAGCAGUAAUGUGGUAACCUCUGUAGAUAACCUUUGCCAGCAUUUAGUAAUUUCUCUAUCGAGAGAGUCUGCCUUCUCUCUAACCAGCACAUGCUUAAUGCUAUAUGUGUGUUUGUUUCCUCUUGCCCCAUUCUCAAUUUUUGAGUAAAAAAUAUCUGUGUAUUAUUGUAUUUAUAAGACCUUAGUUCUUCAUAAACUUAAUAAUAGUAGCUAACACAUAUAUACUGCUUUUGUGCACUGCAAAUUAUAACUUGUUUACUCCUCAGUGGCAAUCCUAUGAGGUAGGUACUAUUACCAUUCUCAUUUUACAGGUGAUGAAAUAGAGGGUCCUUGAGAUUAAAUUACUUGCCCAAGGUUAUAGUCAGACAUUUCUACAACUACUUGUUUGGUAGUUAAUUAUCUUAUAUUACAAAUAAUACUAUGUUUUCUUAAAUAGUAACCCAGUGAUACAUUUAAUCUUUAUUUUAGUUCAAAAGCUAGAAUUCUACCAAGUGGUGGGAUGGGAUUCCAACCUUUGCAUUUUGCCAGCAGAGUCUGUGCACUGGUUUUGCCUCUGGCUUGCCAGUUGUGAAGUCAUCCCUCACCAUGCUUUUCUUCAGAUUCAACGCUUAACAAGUUUUGUUUGCCAAUCUUUAAAUUAUCCUGUAGUCCUGUUACUAACUUUUUAAAAUUCCUUUCUAGAUGGGGAACCUGGGGUAAACACCAUAACGGUUAUGUAUAAUGCAAAGAUUAUGUCAAGGUUCUGGCAUUCCAAAAUUGAUUUAAAAAACAACCCCAAAGCCAUAAAAAAUGCCUUAUUGCAUUGCAGGUUACCCAUCCACCUUCUCAGCUAGAAAAAUGCCCUGGACUUGUUGCAUACUAUGACACAUUUACAGUUGAAAGAUUGUUGCUGUUCGAAGAAAAAUGGAUUUUUCCUGAUUGCAUAUUUCAGUGCAAAUAUCCAUAAGCAAAAUCAGUUUAUAUCCUCACUAACUUUUUACUAUUUUCUCUUUAUGUGUGCCUGUCUAAGUGAUAUAUCAAUUCCCCCAUACAUUUCUUUUAACUUUAUUUUUUUUUGAGACAGAACUUUUUUUUUUUCAUUGAAAAUAGAUUUCGUUUCAUUCAAAUUAGAAGUGUUGUGUUCUCCCAAACUGCCUCCCAACAAAGGUCUCCUCUUGAUAAAUGAAAAGGUAGUAAAAAGACAACUUCACAUUUCUUUUUAUGCAAAUCUAUCAAAAGGUACAUAAUCAAAAAAACUUCAACAUCCGAACUGUCCAUGAGGUGACUGGAUGAUUGACUCGGAAAGAAAAGGAGAGAGAAUCACUGCUCUGAUUUGAAGUGUGAAAAGUUCUUAUAUGUCCAUGUCAGUUAACACUGGUAUAAUAUAGAAAGCAAAGUGACCCUCAAGAGAAAGGUUUCAUUGAGUAGAGUAUAAGAGAGGGAACAAUAAGAAGGUAAGACACACCUGAGAAGGUUUACUUGUGUUCAGCUGAAGAUUAAUAGGAAGCAGUGAAAAAUCAACAUCCCAUGAUCAGUAACUUUAAA